rnacentral:rRNA from 1 species
UACGGGGGGGGCAAGCGUUGUUCGGAAUUACUGGGCGUAAAGGGCUCGUAGGCGGCCAACUCAGUCGGAUGUGAAAUCCCCAGGCUUAACCUGGGAACUGCAUCCGAUACUGGAUGGCUUGGAUUUGGGAGAGGGAUGCGGAAUUCCAGGUGUAGCGGUGAAAUGCGUAGAUAUCUGGAGGAACACCGGUGGCGAAGGCGGCAUCCUGGACCAAUAUUGACGCUGAGGAGCGAAAGCCAGGGGAGCAAACGGG